rnacentral:snoRNA from 1 species
UUUGAUGAUGAUCAACUUUUAUUCACACUGUACGAGGUUUUAACCGACCAGUGAUUUAUAAACAAAAAUACUGAUUUAAUGACUCUGAUA